GGAGGAGCAGAAAGAAGGCCAGAGUGGCUGGAGAUCGUAAUGGGGAGAGAGUUACAAGAUGAGAGACCAGCACCAGCUGAUGCGGCCAGGCCAGGUCCCAGAAGUGACUGUGUCAGGAUGGAGGGUGGCCCUGGGCAUCCUGCCAUUGAAAGCUGAUUGGAGCUGGACCAGCUUAGGCCAGUCUAGAGCUGAGGAGUAUCAUCAAGAGCAGGACCCUCUGGAAUGUGGCUGUUUGUGGAAAGAGCCAGAAGAACCCAGAGCGGGUAGAGGAAAUGUCUUCCUCCCCUACAGUGAUGUCAGAGGCCAUGUCUGCUUUGGUCAUGCUUGUCCCCUCCACACCUGACACAGUGCCCAGCACCCACCGAGUAUUGAUUGAGUGGAUGGACGGAUGCACGUUGGAGCUGAGACCCAGACUGGCCCACGUCCUCCCACACCUGCAUCCUAAGACUGCCAGCCUGGUUGGAAAAGCUGAUCAUAUCCGGGCUAGAGAUGCUCCUUAUCAAAGUCAAGGCCAAGAUCCAUGGGAAAGGAUCAGGUCACAGCAAAGGAUCCAGAGGAGCAAAUUCCCUUCCAUGAGGCAGAUGUGACCCAGCGAUUCCACUCCAGGCGUGACCAAGUGCUGAUUCCUCGUCUCCAUGAAAGGCAUUGUAGCAGGUGCAAAACCCGGAGAUUAUCCCAAGAAUUAAGAUAUGAAAAGCGUGUUAGAUCACUAAACUCCAAUUAGGGAAAUGAAAUUGUGCGCAUUCCCCUCCUAACACAAUAUCGGGGGCCUGCAUCAGCUCUGGGUGCUGGGUCUAAUGAAAUUAGAGAAUAACACUUUAAUUGAAUUGUGCUUAAAAGGAUCAUGCUGACAAAUGUGAUUGUAUCUGUCUGGGAUGCACACCUUCUCCGGCAAUCAUUAAAUCCAAUGAAAUGCUAGUCUCAGGAUCGCGACAGUUUCUGAAGCAAUCUGUGAACCGUGCUGUAUCUCGGAGCAUCUAAUCAAUUUAGAGCCGCCUCAUUAGGACUUGGCUGCUAACGGAUACUUAAAAAUCAAAGCAAAUUACUGCACUCCGUGGAUAACUAGCUAAUCAUAUCGAUACAACAUGGCUGGAUUGUGUUGCAACAAUUCAUUUCCUCUUUAAGAAGCCACUGUCACCCAUAAUUUAGGGAUUGAGAUUCAUAAGCCUGAUGCAGACAGCUCCCAUGUCAAGGAUUUUCCUGAACUCAACAGCAAGGGGUGCAUGCCACCCCAGCAAUUGUGAGUGAACCAAAGCCAGCCCCCUGACUCCUUUUGUUUAUACCCUACCUACCCCCUAGGCUCAUUCCUGAGUAAUGAGCCCAAGACCUCUAUUGUACAGAAGAGGAAUCAGAAGCUCAGAGACGGACAGCAUCUUUCCUAAGAUCACACAGCAAUUAGUGGCACAACCAGGAUUUGACCCUUGUUGACAUCACAUCAAAUUUUCUAGUACUUUAAUAGUAAUUUAGAACAAUAAUUAUUCUUUCACUGACAGUUUACUUGGGUCCUAUUUUAAUAUUCUUAUUGAUAAUGAACCUCGCCAUCAUCAUCAUCAUCAUUAUAAUAGGAAUAGCCUAUACUUACAUAGAACGUAUUACAAAUGUAAUUCAUUUAAUUGUGUCAACAACCCUAGAAGUACGUUCUAUGAUUAUGGUAGGCGUUAAUGCUAGUUGCCAACUGUUUCUGGCUCUUCCUCUCCAGGUCAUGCGGUAGGACUGCUCAUCCUGGCCCCCUGCGGCUAGAUGGAUCAGGAGACCAGUUCUGGCCAAUGAGUGUGAACAGAAGGGACCUGUGUUAUUUAUGGGCCCAAGCAUGAUUGCUGGGUCAAGAUCUCCAUCAUUCUUUUCCCCUCCAGCUCAUAAACCAGCAACACUUGAGGUGGGAGCUUUUCUGAAUACAAUGAGCCGAAACUCCUCGCCCACCCACAAUGGACUUGUCGCGUGAGUGAGAAAUAAACUUGAGUUAUUGGAAGCCACUGAGCUGUUGGGGUUGUCUGUUACUGCAGGAGAACCUCGCUUGUGCUGACUGGUAGAAUUCUCACCCCUAUUUCACAGAGGAGGAAACUAAAGCACAUGGAGAUGAA
ensembl:lncRNA